UGACCAGCCAUGCCGCGUGAGGAUGAGGUCCUCUGGAUUGUAAACUUCUUUUAUCUGGGACGAAAAAAGGGAAUUCUUUCUCACUUGACGGUACCAGAAGAAUAAGCACCGGCUAACUCCGUGCCAGCAGCCGCGGUAAUACGGAGGGUGCGAGCGUUAUCCGGAUUCACUGGGUUUAAAGGGUGCGUAGGUGGGCAGUUAAGUCAGUGGUGAAAUCUCCGGGCUUAACCCGGAAACUGCCAUUGAUACUAUCUGUCUUGAAUACUCUGGAGGUAAGCGGAAUAUGUCAUGUAGCGGUGAAAUGCUUAGAUAUGACAUAGAACACCGAUUGCGAAGGCAGCUUACUACGGAGUCAUUGACACUGAGGCACGAAAGCGUGGGGAUCAAACAGGAUUAGAUACCCUGGUAGUCCACGCCCUAAACGAUGGAUACUCGACAUUUGCGAUACACAGUAAGUGUCUGAGCGAAAGCAUUAAGUAUCCCACCUGGGAA
rnacentral:rRNA from 1 species